rnacentral:lncRNA from 7 species
AGCAAACAUAGUCUUACUCUUCAUCUCUCAGUAUUUAAGUCACAGUGCAGCUUCCUGCCAUUAUUACAGCAAUUAAAAUGCAAUUACUUUUUCAUCUUUAUUUCAGUUCUUGAAUAAUUAAAGCCACUUUACAUCAAGGGUGAUCCAUAAAGGAAGUCAUUUUGCAUGUGAAAAGCUGUGAAGAGUGGAAGACAUUGGGGUAUCGCAGUCAGCAGAGAGCAUCUGAGAUUGGUUAUAGCACGAUUUUUAUUCCAUUUGAUGUAGAAAUUGACCAGUCCUACAACAGCUGCAGUGAGAGGAGAUGGUGACAUCCCCGCGCAUCCCUUCCCCUGUGUCAGACCUUCAGAGAAUCCACCACCAGCUGAUGGUGGCUUCAGGCACAGCUUCACCAUUUUGGCUCUGGAUGUGUUUUAAUAUCAGUCUGGGGGGAGCAGUGGAUGUUAGAUGUAAAAUUCCCCUUAAAAAGCAGUGGAAGGAACCUUCAUUUGUGCUGCAAGUUGAGAGACACUGGCCUCAGAAAGCCAUUGGAUGUUAUUGGCUUGCUUCCUGCAGUCUGUGCUGCUAUAAUACCAUUCAAACAAGGAUAAAACUCAUGAGUGCCUGGUUCAGCAAGUCAUUGUGUAGCUCCCUCUAUGGGCCCCCGUGUACCACUCUGCCCAUUCGUCUCAAAGCACCUACUGACACUCAGACAUGGAGCUACAGGCAGAUCCUUGCUGGUACUCUUGCUAUCAGGCCAAAGGCAUUUAUGGCCCCAGAUGUCUGACACAGUGAUUGAAACGGGCAUUCCUCAUGUCAGAGCUAUGCUGCAAGAAAACUAUUGCAGUCCCUUCGCCUCCCUUGGGGUCCCUUCCAACCCAAGCCAUUCUAUGAUACAGUGAUUCUACGACCAUCUUUCCACCAUAAAUAAAAUAUUAGUGUAGCAUAGCAGGCUGCAGAUAUGCUUUGCACGAGAUUGUAGAAUGAAAAUAUAUUGCAGAUGGUAUUUACUUAAAAGACAAGUAAAUUUUUAUUUCUGUCUCUGCAAGGACAAAAACUAAUUAAAAGCCAGGCAGAGUGUUUUCUUCUUCACUUGGAACAUUACAAUAAGUGGUAACAUCUGUGUUGCACAAUUUAUUAUUUGUGCGUGCAAUGUUGUAAAAUAUACUUUCCCAACAUUACAAGCUGGUGUACUAAUUUACAUUAAAAUGCUAAUUUAAUUUGGAGUAGAAGAAC